CUGUGCCUGGGGGGUGUUUGGGGGUGUUUGGGGGUUGAUUGAGGGGUGCUUGGAGGACUGUUUGGGGUGUGUUUGGGGCAGUGUGGGGAGGGGCUUGGUGUGUGCUUUUGGGGUGUUUGGGGGGGUCUACUUGGGGUCUGAGCAUGAGGGGUGCUUGGGGGGUGUUUAGGUUGGCGUGAUUGGGGGUAUGCGCAUGGGGGACUUGGGGGAUGCUUGGGGUCUGUGCGUAGGGGGUGCUUGGGGAGUGCUUGGGGGGUGUUUAGGGGUUGCUCAGGUGCUUGGAGGAAUGUUUGGGGGCAUUAGGGGGGUGUUUUGAGGUUGCUUGAGGUCUGUGUGUGCUUGGAGGGGUGUUUAUGAGUUGAUUACAAGGUUCUUGGAUGAAUGUUUGGGGUGUGCUUGGGGGAUGCUUAGGGAUACGUGUUUGGGGGUGUGUGCAUGGGGGGCUUGGGGUGUGCUUGCUGCCGAAGCCUGUCCAAGACAACUUUGGGCUCUCUUUUGCUCGCUUGCUGCAGCGAGUCACUCUGAAAGCACGCCUGGUUUGGGGUAACCGCCCCUGUGUGAAGCUGGCAUGGUUCCUCGAAGUUUGCUCUUCCUGUGGGCACGGUGCGAGUGGCAGGAAGAAAUCCUGUGCCUUGAGAUGUGAAGUAGGAAGACAAACAGCAUUUGAGGUAAACAGGCCGUCAGUAGAGAGGUGAUAGGUAUGAUUGCACAGCCGGGAAAGUAAAGUAGGUCAUGAGUUCCCACUGCCCAAGUAGUCCUGGAGUAAAUACAUAUGCAUGCAGUUGGUGAAGAUAUUAGAGAUACAGACGUGAAUGGAGGAUCUGUUGAGAUUAAGGGAUGUACUUGCAGGCUGCCUUAAAAGUUAGGUACUUUAAAGGAAUAAUAUGGACAUGAAAGCGUACUCUCUGUGGUCACAACUUCAGAACCUGGAAGUGUUCUGUUUGAUUCCAAGACUCGAGAUGUAACAUCUUCCUUCCUAUUUGGAAGGAAUUGGGAAUUCCAGAUGCAUUCCUUGGAGUUCUGUGGAUGCCAUGAUCUUGCAUUUUUGGUGGUUGGCAUCCUUUUUGCCUUGCAUUAGUAUCUUGAGUGAACAGGUCUAGUUUGAUAGCCAGCAGAUUUUACCUUUUCAGCUUUUAAAGUCUGAUAGUGGUUUGCAUGCAUGUCUUGACUUCACUAGAAAUUCUGCUGCAGGCAUAUUGCUGAAGUUUUUUCUCCAGUUAAGUUUGAUAUGAUCCAUCAAGUGAAAGCGUAUGUUCUAAA
rnacentral:lncRNA from 1 species